rnacentral:sRNA from 1 species
GCCGGGCGCAGUGGCACAUGCCUGUCAUCCCAGCAGCUCGGGAGGCUGAGGCAGGAGGAUUGUGAGUUCAAAGCCAGCCUCAGCAAAAAGUGAGGCACUGAGCAACCCAGUGAGACCCUGUCUCUA